rnacentral:rRNA from 1 species
ACUCCUACGGGAGGCAGCAGUGGGAAUCUUGGACAAUGGGGCAACCCUGAUCCAGCCAUGCCGCGUGAGUGAUGAAGGCCUUAGGGUCGUAAAGCUCUUUCGCCUGUGAUGAUAAUGACAGUAGCAGGUAAAGAACCCGCGUACUCCGUGCCAGCAGCCGCGGUAAUACGGAGGGGGUUAGCGUUGUUCGGAAUUACUGGGCGUAAAGCGCAUGCAGGCGGCCUGUUAAGUCAGAUGUGAAAGCCCGGGGCUUAACCUCGGAAUUGCAUUUGAAACUGGCAGGCUAGAGUCUUGUAGAGGGGGUAGAAUUUCAGGUGUAGCGGUGAAAUGCGUAGAGAUCUGAAGGAAUACCAGUGGCG